CCUACGGGUGGCAGCAGUGGGGAAUAUUGCACAAUGGGGGAAACCCUGAUGCAGCGACGCCGCGUGAGUGAAGAAGUAAUUCGUUACGUAAAGCUCUAUCAGCAGGGAAGAAAGAAAUGACGGUACCUGAGUAAGAAGCCCCGGCUAACUACGUGCCAGCAGCCGCGGUAAUACGUAGGGGGCAAGCGUUAUCCGGAAUUACUGGGUGUAAAGGGAGCGUAGACGGUAAUGCAAGUCUGGAGUGAAAGGCGGGGGCCCAACCCCCGGACUGCUCUGGAAACUGUUGAACUGGAGUACAGGAGAGGUAAGCGGAAUUCCUAGUGUAGCGGUGAAAUGCGUAGAUAUUAGGAGGAACACCAGUGGCGAAGGCGGCUUACUGGACUGUAACUGACGUUGAGGCUCGAAAGCGUGGGGAGCAAACAGGAUUAGAUACCCGAGUAGUC
rnacentral:rRNA from 1 species